GUGCCAGCCGCCGCGGUAAUACGUAGGUGGCAAGCGUUGUCCGGAUUUACUGGGCGUAAAGGAUGCGUAGGCGGAUACUUAAGUCAGAUGUGAAAAUCCCGGGCUUAACUUGGGAACUGCAUUUGAAACUGGGUAUCUAGAGUGCGGGAGAGGAGAGUGGAAUUCCUAGUGUAGCGGUGAAAUGCGUAGAGAUUAGGAAGAACACCAGUGGCGAAGGCGACUCUCUGGACCGUAACUGACGCUGAGGCAUGAAAGCGUGGGGAGCAAACAGGAUUAGAAACCCCAGUAGUCC
rnacentral:rRNA from 1 species